ensembl:lincRNA
ACCAAACACGACUGACAAAGGAUGCCCUAAAGGGGCGAUACCAGUUUCCCCAGCACUUCUCCAAAGAGGUGCAAAGCUUAAUAAAGGGUCUUCUCAACCCUGACCCAAGAAUGCGCCCUACUUUAGAGAAAGUAAGGCAGCAUCCAUGGCUUCAGCUUGAAUCUGUCCCUUGUCAUCCUCCUCAACUGCUCCCCAAGGCCACAGAAAGGGCAAUAUUGCACAUUAUGGCUGGGAAGGGGUACAACCGGCUGAAGGUGAUUGAUGCAGUGAAGUGCAGAAAAUACGAUCCUGACAUGGCGCCCUUCCUGCUACUACAGGACAUGGCACUCGAGAAACUCCACUUGAGGUCUGAGGUGAAGCCCACACACAAACGUGAGGCUGAAGAUCUGUUUGAACAGUCCACAAACAAAGAUGAGUAUACAGAUGAAUAUCAGCCAUCUUCAUCUCCUCCCCCUGUAGCAUCUCACAAACCAAGCCGUGCUAUUGCUACUACCAAGGCCUGCCAACCAAGCCCUGCUUCUUCCAUCAAGUCCUACUAUCCAGGACCUGCUACCCCUAAAGCAUCCCGUCAACCAAGCCCUGCUUCUCCCAUCAAGUCCUACGAUACAGGACCUGCUACCCCUAAAGCACCCCGUCAACCAAGCCCUGCUUCUUCCAUCAAGUCCUACUAUACAGGACCUGCUACCCCUAAAGCAUCCCGUCAACCAAGCCCUGCUUCUUCCAUCAAGUCCUACUAUACAGGACCUGCUACCCCUAAAGCAUCCCGUCAACCAAGCCCUGCUUCUCCCAUCAAGUCCUACGAUACAGGACCUGCUACCCCUAAAGCAUCCCGUCAACCAAGCCCUGCUUCUUCCAUCAAGUCCUACCAUUCAGGGCCUGCUACCCCUAAAGCAUCCCGUCAACCAAGCGCUGCUUCUCCCAUCAAGUCCUAUCAUCCAGGACCUGCUACCCCUAAAGCAUCCCGUCAACCAAGCGCUGCUUCUCCCAUCAAGUCCUAUCAUCCAGGACCUGCUACCCCUAAAGCAUCCCGUCAACCAAGCCCUGCUUCUUCCAUCAAGUCCUACUAUACAGGACCUGCUACCCCUAAAGCAUCCCGUCAACCAAGCCCUGCUUCUUCCAUCAAGUCCUACCAUUCAGGGCCUGCUACCCCUAAAGCAUCCCGUCAACCAAGCCCUGCUGUUCCCAUCAAGUCCUGUAAAACCAGCCGUGCCUCUACUGAGUCAUACUGGCAGCCCAACCCUGCCUCUCCCGGUGAGUCCUUCCAGCACAGCCCUGGGACUCCAAAUGCUGCCUUCACUGCUGCCCCAGCCCCUGUCAGCAGUAGGAGGUGGGGCUGGAAAACUGUCAAGAGAACCAUGAGAGACUGCCUAAGGGCCCUGUGCUGCUGCCCCGUAUCGACAUGCAAGUGUCACAAACACAAGGUGGUCGAGGUGCAGAUCCAUGAUCCCUCCUAUGGACGUGGUCAUCCUGACAGCGAGGUCAGCCACGCAAGUGGAAGCCACAGUGAGUUGCCUUGCAGCCCUUUGUGCAGGGAGCUGGAGGGGAGAGGAGGAGUCAAGAUCACUAGUGUAUCCUGUGGGUGAGAAGCAGAGGGAGGGGUUGGUGCACAGCAUGGGAAGGCUGCACAGGCACCAGGAGCUGCGAUCCAGUGAGAGGAAGACAGGAGGAGCAGGGGGGAGAGUCACCUGGCUUGUAUCCUGCUGUCUGAGGGAGGCUGCCCCAGGGACAGGGAGGGCUGGGCACCAUGGACCUGUCCACAACCUCCCAUGAGGAUGCAGGGAGACCUGGGUACCAUGGACCUGACCACACCUGACCACUACCUCCCUUAUUGUGCCUGGCAGUAGGGUGUGUUCUGGGAAGAGCAAGGGGUCAUCUACCAUCACCCCCACACAUCCCCAUGAAGAGACAUGGACCCAAACCCUGGUCUUCUGAAUGCUGUCCCCAAGUCUGUAUCUGCAAGCCUUUGAAAGGAGCCCAUUGAAGUCUUGUGUCAGUAAACAGAGACUCAUAUCCAGCCUUGAGGGCACACAGGCAUGCGUGUUGUGGGGACAGAGUUUGGAACAAGAGAAAUCUCCACACGUGAGGGUGUUGCUUGCCACCGUGGGAACAGUGACAUUUGGUAAAGAGAAGACAUUCGUGGCUUCCAAACUGUGGUCUGUGUUUGCAGCACCUGGGGCAGGAUCUGAACCAGAGAGUGUUCAGGGCAAGUUGGAACAUGCACAUAACACAUGUCAUGGUGCAUCUUGCUUCUGCAUUUUCUCAUUUUCUAUCUUUGUACUUGUUUUCUGCCUUGAGGCUUGUAAAUUGCUUAUGGUCAGUAGUUUAUUACUAGUAUUGGGACCUCUUAAGGAAAUGACUAUUUUCAGAGAUGUUCUGUAGGGGUAGCUGGCUUUGGAUUCUGUCAUCCCAAGAUUUUGCCUCUUCUUUUCUUAAAGGAACUUUUUUUUUUUUUUCAAAACGAGAAACUAUGGAAUUUCUUUUUUGGUACUGGGAGUCAAACUCAGGGUCUUGUGUUUGCCAGGCAGGAGCUGUGCCACUGAGCUCCAUCCCCAGCCCUGCCUCUUCAGUUCGGUAGGAAUGAAGGGCUGCUGCCUGUUUGGCCCAGCACCCAGUUCUUAUAGUUCUGUAGUCCAGAACUACAGGAUUGUUUGUGCCCCUCAGACAACUGAGGUGGUGGUGUUCAAAGAAGAUCAGUUGAUGCCAAUAACUCUGUCACUUUGGCUAACAUAGUACAAUCAGCUAUAACAACUGCAACCAACACAGCCAGGAAAUGAUAAACUCUUAUGACCAAGGACAUGCCUGCUUUAAUCACAGGUAUGAGAUUUGUAGUUACACAGCCAACUAUAAGGCAAAGCAGAAUAUUAUAUACAGUAAGUAUAUACUCAGUAGAGCAAUUUGCCCUAAAGGGAGAAAAUUUAUUAGGGAUACCAAGAAAAUAUAGAAAAAUAAAAGAGAGAUAAGAAGACUGAAGUACAAAGGGAGAUUACCAGGCCUUAGAAAACGAGUGAUAAAACAGGAGCAAAAAGCAGGACCAAAAAAGAGAGAAAAAUACAAAAGCUGAGAACAAUGUACACAGGCAGGAAAAACAAAACACAAAGACAAAAAGUUCUCUGACUUUAAACCUGUGGCAGGCCUCUGCGGUCUGUGGUCUUAUUGCAGUGUCCAGUGCAGAGAAGACAGUGGAGGCACUCCACGCCCACUGCUUGCUGUCAGAUCCCAGCAAGCCUGCAGUAGUGUUUCGGGGCCCUGAGUUAGCUAGAAAUACUAUAGGCAGGGAGACAGGGCUAGGUCCUGAAGGAGCCAGUGCAGGAGCUCAGAUACCUUGCAGCUAAGGGGAGACAGGCACCUCCUGCUGUGGGCCAAACCUCAAGACAAAAGAUCAAACAAAUACAUCCAUAAGGACUGAUGUUCUAAAUAGCUUCUUAGCACCCCGCAGAAGUCAGGAGUCACCAUUCCAACCCCCUAGGGAAGAUUCACUGCUCUCUAAGAAU